AAAUCUUUUAAAUUAUACAUAAGUUGCCUUGCAUAUUUUGCAAAAAAUCAAAGAUUAUGUAUUUAUAUUUAUUGCUGUUAAUUUUCUAUUGCUUGAUUGAAGUUUUUGUAAUAUAUAUAUAUAUAAUUAUUUCUAUACUUUGUCUAAUCAUACAAUAAUAUAGCAAUGUUACACAGGCAUAAGUUACUUUAAUUAACUGAUAACGUUUGUGAAUGAUAUUACUUCUGUUGUCUAUUCUAUUUAGCGAGUUAAUCGAAUACAACGAUUUAAAUCUCAUGUAUUAUAAUUUUCUACGUAGAUCGUUGUGCCUAAUAUUUUUAAUAUAUUCAGAAUCUAUUCUGUACAACUGUUUCUACUAUUAACUUGUGAAUAAAAAAUUUUAAUGCAAGCA